rnacentral:rRNA from 1 species
CUACGGGAGGCAGCAGUGAGGAAUAUUGGACAAUGGACGAAAGUCUGAUCCAGCUAUGCCGCGUGCAGGAUGACGGCCCUAUGGGUUGUAAACUGCUUUUAUACAGGAAGAAAAAUCCGACGUUCGGAACUUGACGGUACUGUAAGAAUAAGGAUCGGCUAACUCCGUGCCAGCAGCCGCGGUAAU